GAUGAACGCUGGCGGCGUGCUUAACACAUGCAAGUCGAACGGGAUCCAAGGGGUGCUUGCACUUUUUGGUGAGAGUGGCGAACGGGUGAGUAACACGUGAGUAACCUGUCCUUUUCUUUGGGAUAAGCAUUCGAAAGGGUGUUUAAUACCUUAUGUUCUGUCUGCCUCGCAUGGGGUGGGUGGGUAAGGCUUUGGCCGGAUUUGGGUGGGCUCGCGGUCUAUCAGCUUGUUGGUGGGGUGAUGGCUUACCAAGGCUUUGACUGGUAGCCGGCGUGAGAGGGUGGUCGGUCACAUUGGGACUGAGAAACGGCCCAGACUCCUGCGGGAGGCAGCAGUGGGGGAUAUUGCACAAUGGGCGAAAGCCUGAUGCAGCGACGCCGCGUGGGGGAUGAAGGCCUUCGGGUUGUAAACUUCUGUUGCUCUGAACAAGGCAUGCCAGUGGGUGUGUUGAGUGUAGGGGUUGAUUAGCGCCGGCUAACUACGUG
rnacentral:rRNA from 1 species